UACGUAGGGUGCGAGCGUUGUCCGGAAUUAUUGGGCGUAAAGAGCUUGUAGGCGGUUUGUCGCGUCUGCCGUGAAAGCCCGGGCUUAACCCUGGGUCUGCGGUGGGUACGGGCAGACUAGAGUGUGGUAGGGGAGACUGGAAUUCCUGGUGUAGCGGUGAAAUGCGCAGAUAUCAGGAGGAACACCGAUGGCGAAGGCAGGUCUCUGGGCCACUACUGACGCUGAGAAGCGAAAGCAUGGGGAGCAAACAGG
rnacentral:rRNA from 1 species